rnacentral:rRNA from 1 species
UUUGAUCCUGGCUCAGAAUUAACGCUGGCGGCAUGCGUAACACAUGCAAGUCGUACGAGAAAGCCCCUUUCGGGGGGCGAGUAAAGUGGCGCACGGGUGAGUAACGCGUGGGUAAUCUACCCCGGUCUGGGGGAUAACGCACCGAAAGGUACGCUAAUACCGCAUGACCCGGCGGGUUUUUGGACCCGUCGGAAAAGGUGGCCUCUUCAUGAAAGCUACCGAACCGGGAUGAGCCCGCGUCCUAUUAGCUUGUUGGUGGGGUAAAGGCCUACCAAGGCGACGAUGGGUAGCUGGUCUGAGAGGACGGCCAGCCACACUGGAACUGGUACACGGUCCAGACUCCUACGGGAGGCAGCAGUGAGGAAUAUUGCGCAAUGGGGGAAACCCUGACGCAGCGAUGCCGCGUGGGUGAAGAAGGCCUUCGGGUCGUAAAGCCCUGUCAAACGGGAAGAACAGUCUGGAGACGAAUAAUCUUCAGGCCUGACGGUACCGUUGAAGGAAGCACCGGCUAACUCCGUGCCAGCAGCCGCGGUAAGACGGAGGGUGCGAGCGUUAUUCGGAUUUAUUGGGCGUAAAGAGCAUGUAGGCGGUCGAUCAAGUCUGAUGUGAAAGCCCGGGGCUUAACCUCGGAAGGGCGUUGGAAACUGGUCGACUUGAGUUCGGGAGAGGAAAGCGGAAUUCCGGGUGUAGAGGUGAAAUUCGUAGAUAUCCGGAGGAACACCGGUGGCGAAGGCGGCUUUCUGGACCGAAACUGACGCUGAGAUGCGAAAGCGUGGGGAGCAAACARGGAUUAGAUACCCUGGUAGUCCACGCUGUAAACGAUGGGCGCUAAGGUGUGGGGGGGUUUUAAUCCCUCCGUGCCGCAGCUAACGCAUUAAGCGCCCCGCCUGGGGAGUACGGCCGCAAGGUUAAAACUCAAAGGGAAUUGACGGGGCCC